UGACUACAUGGAUUUCCAGUCUUUUCACCCCAACUUUGAAAUGCUACAAAUCCAAUGUAACAGACAAGGAUCUCUGCAGCUGGUCUCUUUCCAUCCUCUGCCAUUUUGUAACAUCUCCAGGUCCUCUCUAUGUCUGGAUCAGUUUGGUUUUUGAAAGAGAGGUGGCCUGGAACUAGUGGCAGUCCUCCUGCCUCAACCUCCCAAAUAUUCUGACUAUAGAAAUACAGUAUAACACCCAGCUGAGACUGCAGGUUGUUUCAUCCACUGUGGGCCUGCUGUCUAGACUGAGACAGACUAUGAAGUUCAGGGUCCUCUGAACCCAACCACAACAGCCUUGGCCUCCCUGGAAAGCCUCCAUAUAAGCUGAGAUGAAGCCAGCAGCAGACAUCGUCAGGAAGUCAGCUUGUAUAACCAUCGUUCUGUUCACUUGCAGAAGAGCAGUAAGAAGCUUCACCACUAAGGAAACAGCAGACUUUCCACCACUGUCAACAUCACACAGAUCUUUGAUGAAGCAAAGAAACAUCACUGCUGCUAACAUAGUGCUAGCUGCCAUCGCUGUGGACAGCAAACUGUCACGAAGUUUGGAGGUAAAAAGAGCUCAUGAAGCAGCCAACAAUCAUGUAGAUCAAAGGAAGAAAUGAAAAUAUGGAACAACCUUUCUCUUGGGGACCAGAUAGGAGUAUAAUUAUUGUACAUUAUGUUUUAUAGAACAAAAAAAAGGGAGAGAAGGAUGGGAGCUGUAAACAGCAGCAAAUUCACAACCUAAGACUUGUUCUUGCUUUAUGUUCAGAACUCAGUAUUGUUGAUCAUGUUGAUACAAUUCAGUAAGUUCCUAUAGGGUUAGGAAACCUUGCUCAAAUAAGUCUUUCUCCUGAUUCAGGCUGGUAAGAAGUCAUUGUGGUGCAAGCAAGCAUAGGGAAUAACUUAUCCUGGACUCUACUACAUGUGGGCUAUGUGACACAGCGCUGCUAACAAGGCAUCUAGCAACCUAGGACUCUAACCUGCAUGUAAACCCCACUUCAAAGCACCGAAUUAGUUACUCCUUGCUAACAACUUGGUGACGACUUCCAUUUUGUGGUUUGUGUCUUAGUUAUUUUUCUAUUGCUGUGGGAAGACACUAUGACCAAGCAAACUUAUAGGGGGAAAAGGUUUAUUUGGGGCUUCCUUCCGUUUCCAAGGAUUACUCCAUGACCAGCAUAGUGGAGAGUGUGGCAGCAGGCAGGCAGGCUUGGUACUGGAGCAAUAGCUAAGGACUUACAUGUUGAGACAAUAACUCUGAGGAGAAAGAUAACCAGCAGGAAUGAUGUGAGCUUUUGAAACCUCAAAUCCUAGUGCUAGGAUUGGGUUACAUCUAUUCAAGAUAUCAGCCAAAGGGCCCAAUGGAAACUCCCGAACAACCCAAGUGUGGUUUGAAUAGGUGUGGCCCCCAUAGACUCAUGUGUUUGAAUGUUUGGUCCAUAAGGAACGGCACUAUUAGGAGGUGUGGCCUUGUUGGAGUGGGUGUGGCCUUGUUGGAGUGGGUGUGGCCUUGUUGGAGGAAGUAUGUCACUAUAGGGGCAGGCUUUGAGGUGUUCUAUGCUCAAGCUACACCCAAUGACACAGUCUCCUUCUGCUGCCUUCAGACCUCUCAGCUCCUUCUCCAGCACCAUACCUGCCUGCACUCUGCCAUGUUUCCUGCCAUAAUAUUAAUGGACUAAAACUCUGAAACUGUAAGCCAGCCCCAAUUAAAUGUUUUAUUUUCUAAGAGUGGCCAUGAUCGUGGUGUUUCUUCACAACAAUGGAAAUCCUAAGAUAUCAGGCUACUGCCAAAGCUAUUAACUUUCCACAAACUGACAGCAAGGCCCUAUUGCUGAAGACAACACCCACACAACUUGCUGCACGUGGAGACGUUGAGCUGGCGUCUGUCUGGAACCUUCACUCCUACUAAAAGCAUUCAUGAUGCUAGAAUGUACUCUGCAUGCUACAGAGUACAGAAGAAAUAAACAGCAAUCCAGCUACCAGUCCUUGAAUCUGCAAUGGUGACCUGACCUGGCAAAAAGAUACAUGGGUAAAAUAGUGGCAUAAAAGUUGUGGCAGUCACUAACCACUAUCUGUUUGGAAGUAAAGUCCAUUCCAUGAGAUGGAACCCAUUGUCAACACUGCUCAGGUAGCCAAGAGCUUGAGGCUAGAUAGGCCAUAGACCUAUGGUUGUUUGAAUAAAAAUGGCCCCCAUAGACUCUAAUAGUUUAAUGCAUGGUCAUUGGGAGUGGUGCUACUUGUGAUUGUUCUUUAAUAAGAGAGAAUGAGGUGUAGAUUUGGGGAAGUGAGGAGUUGAGGCAGAUCUGGGAGCAGUUGGGGGAAGGAAACCAUAAUCAAAAUAUAUUGUAUAAGAAAAAUCUACUUUCAAUAAAGAACAAAAGAAAGAAACCUCCAAACUGCCCCAGUGACACAUCUCCUUCAAUAAGGCCAUACUCCCGAAUUAUUCUCAAGUGUGAAACAAGUCUUUAAACAUGUGAGCUUAGGGCGGCAUUCUCAUUCAAACUGCCACAGUCGGUUUCUAUUCAAACAUCCAGUAACUAAAGGAAAGAAGGCAAGGCAGCCUAAACCACUUUGGGGAGCAGGCACAGUAAUGCGAACUGUGUCUUUUUACCUUUUAGAGAAAAAAAAACUAUCAUAUAGACAUAUGCAAGACAUAUAGUCUAUGCAAGAUUAUGAAUUCAUAUAAGUAAAAUCAGAUGUAUCGUGGAAAGUGGCAAGUACAAUGAAGAAAAGCUUUCAUAACUUAAGCCUCUUGAUCACAGCAGAAAUUCACACAUACCUUACCCAUAGCAACUAACUCCUCGGCCUGGAUCCCAUAAAAGAAGAAUACAAGGGGGCUGGAGAGAUGGCUCAGCGGUUAAGAGCACUGACUGCUCUUCCAGAGGUCCUGAGUUCAAUUCCCAGCAACCACAUGGGGGCUCACAACCAUCUGUAAUGGGAUCUGAUGCCCUCUCCUGGUGUGUCUGACAAGAGCAGCAGUGUACUCACAUACAUGAAAUAAAUAAAUCUUUUAAAAAAAAAAAAAGAAGAACACAAUCAGUAACUCAGUGCUCUUUGGUGUUCGAGCUCAGGUAGCCUGCUGCUCCUAUGCAAUGUAUCCUGUGCUGUCCCUUUCAAUAAAGCUUGCUUCUUUGACAUCUA